rnacentral:rRNA from 1 species
CUGGUAGUCCACGCCGUAAACGAUGUCUACUUGGAGGUUGGUGUCUUGAACACUGGCUUUCGGAGCUAACGCGUUAAGUAGACCGCCUGGGGAGUACGGUCGCAAGAUUAAAACUCAAAUGAAUUGACGGGGGCCCGCACAAGCGGUGGAGCAUGUGGUUUAAUUCGAUGCAACGCGAAGAACCUUACCUACUCUUGACAUCCAGAGAACUUAGCAGAGAUGCUUUGGUGCCUUCGGGAACUCUGAGACAGGUGCUGCAUGGCUGUCGUCAGCUCGUGUUGUGAAAUGUUGGGUUAAGUCCCGCAACGAGCGCAACCCUUAUCCUUGUUUGCCAGCACUUCGGGUGGGAACUCCAGGGAGACUGCCGGUGAUAAACCGGAGGAAGGUGGGGACGACGUCAAGUCAUCACGGCCCUUACGAGUAGGGCUACACACGUGCUACAAUGGCAUAUACAGAGGGCAGCAAGACCGCGAGGUGGAGCGAAUCCCACAGAGUAUGUCGUAGUCCGGAUUGGAGUCUGCAACUCGACUCCAUGAAGUCGGAAUCGCUAGUAAUCGUGGAUCAGAAUGCCACGGUGAAUACGUUCCCGGGCCUUGUACACACCGCCCGUCACACCAUGGGAGUGGGCUGCACCAGAAGUAGAUAGCUUAACCUUCGGGAGGGCGUUUA